UGCCGGACGGCGUAACGCCAGCGCAACCGACUCUGGAUCAGUUAGGCAAGGUUCGAAUCCUUCUCCGGCAG
rnacentral:tRNA from 1 species